rnacentral:rRNA from 1 species
CCAGAGAAUUUAGCAGAGAUGCUUUAGUGCCUUCGGGAACUCUGAGACAGGUGCUGCAUGGCUGUCGUCAGCUCGUGUUGUGAAAUGUUGGGUUAAGUCUCGCAACGAGCGCAACCCUUAUCCUUUGUUGCCAGCACGUAAUGGUGGGAACUCAAAGGAGACUGCCGGUGAUAAACCGGAGGAAGGUGGGGAUGACGUCAAGUCAUCAUGGCCCUUACGAGUAGGGCUACACACGUGCUACAAUGGCGCAUACAAAGAGAAGCGACCUCGCGAGAGCAAGCGGACCUCAUAAAGUGCGUCGUAGUCCGGAUUGGAGUCUGCAACUCGACUCCAUGAAGUCGGAAUCGCUAGUAAUCGUAAAUCAGAAUGUUACGGUGAAUACGUUCCCGGGCCUUGUACACACCGCCCGUCACACCAUGGGAGUGGGUUGCAAAAGAAGUAGAUAGCUUAACCUUCGGGAGGGCGUUUACCACUUUGUGAUUCAUGACUGGGGUGAAGUCGUAACAAGGUAAGCGUAGUGCU